rnacentral:rRNA from 1 species
AGCAGUGGGGAAUUUUGGACAAUGGGCGAAAGCCUGAUCCAGCAAUGCCGCGUGAGUGAAGAAGGCCUUCGGGUUGUAAAGCUCUUUUGUCAGGGAAGAAACGGUGAGAGCUAAUAUCUCUUGCUAAUGACGGUACCUGAAGAAUAAGCACCGGCUAACUACGUGCCAGCAGCCGCGGUAAUACGUAGGGUGCAAGCGUUAAUCGGAAUUACUGGGCGUAAAGCGUGCGCAGGCGGUUUUGUAAGUCUGAUGUGAAAUCCCCGGGCUCAACCUGGGAAUUGCAUUGGAGACUGCAAGGCUAGAAUCUGGCAGAGGGGGGUAGAAUUCCACGUGUAGCAGUGAAAUGCGUAGAUAUGUGGAGGAACACCGAUGGCGAAGGCAGCCCCCUGGGUCAAGAUUGACGCUCAUG